rnacentral:rRNA from 1 species
UACGUAGGGUGCAAGCGUUGUCCGGAAUUAUUGGGCGUAAAGAGCUCGUAGGCGGUCUGUCACGUCGGCUGUGAAAUCCCGAGGCUCAACCUCGGGUCUGCAGUCGAUACGGGCAAACUAGAGUAUUGCAGGGGAGACUGGAAUUCCUGGUGUAGCGGUGAAAUGCGCAGAUAUCAGGAGGAACACCGGUGGCGAAGGCGGGUCUCUGGGCAGUUACUGACGCUGAGGAGCGAAAGCAUGGGGAGCGAACAGG